rnacentral:rRNA from 1 species
AGAACAACGUACAAACCUUAUCGAUAAACAAUUGGAGGGCAAGUCUGGUGCCAGCAGCCGCGGUAAUUCCAGCUCCAAUAGCGUAUAUUAACGUUGUUGCAGUUAAAAAGCUCGUAGUUGAAGUGAAGUGAACAAAGAAGAGAAGAAUCUUCGGAUUCGGAUCUAAUGCGUUGACUCUUUCCAAAGUCAAUGUAUGGGUAUUCAUUUAUCUAUAUAUUGUGUUUGGUCGUUUACUGUGAGAAAAUUAGAGUGUUCAAAGCAGACGUUUGUUUGAAUACAUUAGCAUGGAAUAAUCAUAUAAGGCUUUCAUGUGUAUUUGAUUGGUUUGGAUAUGAAAGCAAGGUUAAUAGGGACAGUUGGGGGUAUUCAUAU